GAUAAACGCUGGCGGCGCACAUAAUACAUGCAAGUUGAACGGACUUAAUCGAAAUAUUUAUAUGUUGAAGCGGUUAGUGGCGGACUGGUGAGUAACGCGUAAGGAACCUGCCUAUUAGAGGGGAAUAACAGUGAGAAAUCAUUGCUAAUACCGCAUAUGCCAUAGAUAUCACAUGAUAACAGUGGGAAAGGAGCAAUCCGCUAAUAGAUGGCCUUGCGUCUGAUUAGAUAGUUGGUGGGGUAACGGCCUACCAAGUCGACGAUCAGUAGCCGGAAUGAGAGGAUGAACGGACACAUUGGGCUUGUGAUACGGCCCAGACUCAUAAGGGAGGGAGAAGUCAGGCAUAUUGCGACAUGGAGGAAACUCUGACGCAGUGACGCCGUGUAUAGGAAGAAGGUUUUCGGAUUGUAAACUAUUGUCGUUAGGGAAGAGAAAGGACAGUACCUAAGGAGGAAGCUCCGGCUAACUACGUG
rnacentral:rRNA from 1 species